ensembl:lncRNA
AUUUAUUGUUUUGUGUGUUUAUUUUCCUGUGUAUUUAUUGUUUUCUUUUGUGUAUUUAUUGUCCUGUGUAUUGAUUGUUUUGUUUUGUUUAUUCAUUGUCGUGUGUAUUUAGUGUUUUGUAUUUAUAGUUCUGUGUAUUUAUUGUCCUUUCUAUUUAUUGUAUUGCCCUGUGUGUUUAUUGUUUUGUCCUGUGUAUUUAUUUUGUUGUGUUUAUUCAUUGUCGUGUGUAUUUAUUGUCCUAUGUAUUUAUUGUUUUGUCGUGUGUUUAUUGUUUUGUCUCGUGUGUUUUUUUGUUCUGUGUAUUUAUUGU